AACGAACGCUGGCGGCAUGCCUAACACAUGCAAGUCGAACGAGACCUUCGGGUCUAGUGGCGCGCGGGUGCGUAACGCGUGGGAACCUGCCUUUAGGUUCGGAAUAACUCAGAGAAAUUUGAGCUAAUACCGGAUGAUGUCUUCGGACCAAAGAUUUAUCGCCUUUAGAUGGGCCCGCGUUGGAUUAGCUAGUUGGUGGGGUAAAGGCCUACCAAGGCGACGAUCCAUAGCUGGUCUGAGAGGAUGAUCAGCCACACUGGGACUGAGACACGGCCCAGACUCCUACGGGAGGCAGCAGUGGGGAAUAUUGGACAAUGGGCGAAAGCCUGAUCCAGCAAUGCCGCGUGAGUGAUGAAGGCCUUAGGGUUGUAAAGCUCUUUUACCCGAGAUGAUAAUGACAGUAUCGGGAGAAUAAGCUCCGGCUAACUCCGUG
rnacentral:rRNA from 1 species